GAUCAUUGUCGAUGUCCCGAAACGAACGACCGCGAACCCGUUUUAUACACGGCCGCGCCGCGGGGAUGGCGGCGGGCGCGCGGGAGGCCCAGUGCUCCCCGCCCGUCGUCGUCCCCCGGCGCGCGCCCACCCGCCCGCUCGGGCGCGCGAGCGCUCGGACGGGCGAAGCUCACAAAACCCCGGCGCGGAAAGCGCCAAGGAAAACUCGAAACGAUCGCCCGGCCCCCCGACCGCCCCGUCCGCGGCGCGCGGCGCGGGGGCGUCGCGGCAUCCGUCGUAACCGAAACGACUCUCGGCAACGGAUAUCUCGGCUCUCGCAUCGAUGAAGAACGUAGCGAAAUGCGAUACUUGGUGUGAAUUGCAGAAUCCCGCGAACCAUCGAGUCUUUGAACGCAAGUUGCGCCCGAAGCCGUCAGGCCGAGGGCACGCCUGCCUGGGCGUCACGCAUCUCGUCGCCGCAAACCCCCGUCUCGCGGGGCGUUCGGCGGAGAUUGGCCUCCCGUGCCCCGUCUCGCGGGCGCGGCCGGCCUAAAUUCGAGUCCUCGGCGAGGGCGUCGCGACCGGUGGUGGUUGAAUUUUCUCGACUCGAGUCGUCGUCGCGCCGUUUUCCCCCCGCCGUCUCCCGGACUCGCCCGACCCCGAAGAAGAGGCGCGCGAGCCUCGACCGCGACCCCAGGUCAGGCGGGAUUACCCGCUGAGUUUA
rnacentral:rRNA from 1 species